GGAGAUUGAAAUUAGCAGGCUUGAAACUUGUGGUACCUGUGAUGGAUCAGGUGCAAAACCUGGGACUAAACCGUCGACCUGUAAUACUUGUGGUGGGCAAGGGCAGGUUGUGUCCUCAGCAAGGACCCCACUGGGUGUUUUCCAGCAGGUGACAACAUGCUCUUCUUGUGGGGGGACUGGAGAGAUUUCUACUCCUUGCGGCACCUGCAACGGUGAUGGCCGAGUGAGGAAGUCAAAACGCAUUAGCUUGAAAGUUCCACCUGGUGUAGAUUCCGGUAGCCGUUUAAGGGUUCGUUCAGAAGGU
rnacentral:lncRNA from 1 species